UACCAGCACCCCGAGUGGUCGGGACGAUUAUUGGGCCUAAAGCAUCCGUAGCCGGUUUUACAAGUCCUCCGUUAAAUCCAACUGCUUAACAGAUGGGCUGCGGAGGAUACUAUAAGACUAGGAGGCAGGAGAGGCAAGCGGUACUCAGUGGGUAGGGGUAAAAUCCGUUGAUCCAUUGAAGACCACCAGUGGCGAAGGCGGCUUGCCAGAAUGCGCUCGACGGUGAGGGAUGAAAGCUGGGGGAGCAAACCGGGA
rnacentral:rRNA from 1 species